rnacentral:snoRNA from 1 species
AUGACCUUACUUGAACAAGAUAUGCUCUAUAGGCUCGUACCUUUGUAUUCUUGAUUCCUAAGAAGAUAGAAACCCAUGUCUGUUUGAUAAACCAGGACCAUGUGACCAAAGCGUGAUUAACAGAGUUCCUUUGUCUUGACCAUGGCUCAGUAGAGGAUCGUUUCCAAACUAUCUGAUGGGUCUUUUGGCAUAGUCACAUGGUUGUCUAACAGACA